GGGGUUGUGGCUCGGUGGUAGAGCGCUCACUUACCAUAUGAGAGGCCCUGGGUUUGAUCCUCAGCACCA
rnacentral:tRNA from 1 species